UUUUGUCGUGAGUCUUGGAGUUUGUCCAGUGGGGUUUCGUGCGUUGAAGUGUUUGCUGGGUCAAAAGCUCGAGUAUUAGUGUUGGAGGGACUGACGCUGUCCGAGGUGCUGAAAAUGGUUAGAGAAGGGAGGAGAGACCAUGGUACAGGAACAAUAGGUCAUAUCUGAGGUACGACAUAGUGGGAUGGCUCUGAAAAAGCAGGACACUCUUACCUUCAGAAUGAGAGCCAAGCAUUUCCAGUUCAACUACAGCUGAAACAUCACGACACAAGUAAGUCCUUCAGGUUUCUUUCAUCAAGAUUCUAAGUAAAAACUUUUGAAGUACAUGAAAAUAGGAUUUGCUCAACUAUUCAUUAUUACUAGCUUACUAGCAGUCUAAAUAAGCAGCUUUUGUAAAUAGCAUGUAUCAGCGGUCUGACGGCCGGGUGGAGAGCCUUGUGCAGUUGAACAUUUUUAUGGC
ensembl:lncRNA